GAAAACUAUAUUUACUGUAUAAUAAUUUAUAAACGAACUUGUAUUGGCUAUAAACCUGCAACUGAAAACGCUUUAUCUUCUGGUGGCCAGCAAGGAACUGCAGUCUGCAGCGCCAUAUUUUGUUAACCUUUCUUUUUCAGAUUAGAUAGUAGCUGUUAAUACUCCUUCAACCUCAAAUCACUAAAUUCUACCUUACAAUUGUUGCCAAACAAGGCCAACUUGGCCCUUCAAGGAAGGGCGUCGCCCCCCUCAUUUGCGGCCUCCUCUCUACCGUUUGUUUAUGGGACAGUUAGC
rnacentral:misc_RNA from 1 species